CCACCUUCAAACCUCUCUCCCUAUGAGUUCUAGAAAGUUCACUUGAGGACAAGUAAAAGAAUAAGUUUGGGGGAAUUCUGAAAAAUAUUCAUACGAUAAGCCCUCGAGAAAGGUUACUCGAAUCCUCGGACAAACGGAUCCUAAGCGUCGAAACAAUGAAACGCGCACAAGGCUCGAUCAACCUGGCUUGCCAUCGGGGAGAGCUGGACGCACGUCCAACUCGUCCUGGUGGCGAGUUUGACCGAACAAGCAGUCCAAAUCGUGGAACGGGCGAGUUUGACCGAACGAGCAGUCCAACUCGCCCGUUCGGCGAGUUGGAUCAAUUAAUCCAUCUUCAUCCCAUCCUCAUAGCCCCCUCCUUCGAGAUCGGAUCGAACUUGCCUUUGUUUCAUCUCGAUCGUAGUCACCAUUGGAACUUUACGAUUUAAAAACCGCAAGAACUCGUUAUCUCGUAUGAAAUUCGAAUUGAUCAUAUAAAACGACGACGGUUAACUAAACACCUUGAACUGCCUCUGCUAUAUGAAAAAUUCGAACUUUCUUCGGAAUCGACGUCGUUUCGGAAGCGCCCUUUUGAUAUAUCGUAAAAACGCUUAAAUCGGAAAAUGGCCCGAAAGGGUCCAGAACGCGGCUAAAAUCUCACUCACGAUUUUAUACGAAAUAAGCGCAAUCGUCUAUUCUGCAGGAGAAGAUAAAUGUCAAGUUCAGAGGAUAAAUGUGAAGUUUCCAAAGAUAAACACGAAGAUCAAAGGAAAAUGGAAUAUUUCCGCGAAGCGAUAAAAUCGAUUGAAGGCAGAAAGGGAAAAAGCAAACUGACUCUAGGAGGAGUAUAUAAGAACGUCGAGGUUGAAGAUGCUAGACGACAAUUCUUUUUACUCUUAGAACUCUCUGCACUUAGAAACUUUAGGCAUUAUUCUCAACAUAUUAUGUUUCUAUGACUGGCGCUCGAUUACUAGACGAACUCGCAAAGGUGGUUCGAUCUCUUGUUCUACUCUUUCAAUCGAACUACGUUCGGCUUGAUCCUCGAAAGGGGUACGUAGCCAGCCUUUCAUAAGGUUCAGUCCGAAAUCAAUCAAAACCUUUUUCGUAUCUUUUUUGUCUUCUGUUAUCGAGUUACGACUCAACUAAGUUUAAGGUUUUAAUUAGGUUGCUAGAACUAGGUAAUUCGCUGACAGCUCUUGCGGCCUAAACUUUUAUAAUCUCUUGUAAUGAUCGCAACGCUCUUACGCGGAUUCAAAAUAAGAUCUACCUUUUCUAUAAAUUCGUUUUGUUAUCUUUUCAUAUUUUUCGCACCCCCCCCCCUCUCCCGCAAUGCUUAUAUUUGUUGCCUACCAUAUAUUAAUACAAGCCUAACUUGUAAAAUUACUUUCGUAACCUUAGUAGAACACCACUUGAGUUUUUGGUGGCAACUUGAAGAAUUUCAGAUGCUUGCAUAUUUUUGUGACUACACAUCGCCGAGAACUGAAUUGAUUGCUGCAAAGUCUUUGAUUUAGUCCUAACGCUUGCAUAUCUCAAAUUGUGUCACGGUUUGUUUUUCUCCACCUCUCGCUGCUUUUCAAUUGUUUGAUUCAUUGUUCAUUUCAUUCAUGUGACUAGCCUUCCAAUUUUUAGUUUUGUGGCCGAUAUAGCAUACUCAUGCAUCGUGCAAUUAGCUUCCUUUGUCGGAUUUCGUUGCGACUCCCCCAGUAUUCCUCGGGCCACUCCAUUUCAACAGUACACACCCAUCACCAUCAGAAUGGGGAUGGCUCCGUGUCUGGGCUUGAACUCUGGAAAUUUGGUUCUAAAGAGCUAUGAAACUGUUGCAGUUUGGCCGAUGAAUCAGUACGAGUUCGAUCUACCAUGUAGGACUUCAGACUAGUCAGUAUUUAUAGCUCAGUUGAAGAUUCUUUUAGACUAAGACAUAGCCGUAAAGAUCAAACUUGAAGCGUUCGUUCGUCAAUUCUAGUAGUUUAUAAUUUUUAGAGAAAAUUGGAAAAAUGAGACACUUUCAACUUAGAUUUGUCUCAAUAGAACUUAUAGAAGAUUAUUUAGGUAAAUAGGAUUUAUAUUUCCUUUAAUACAAUUAUACCCUUCAAUUAACCAAAUUAAUAUUAAUAUUCGUAAUUAAUUUAAGUUUUUUUAAACGAAAAAAAAAUAAAAACAGAAAGUUAAAAAGAAAAGGAUCCACGAAAGAGGCAAAAGUCAUGUUCUAAAACUCUCCCUGGUGGACGAUCCGCCGGCCGAGUACUCGUGAAACGGUAAGUGACGGUGACGUUUGUGUUAUUCGGUUUACAUGAUUAUUUUGUUUUUGUUAGGUUUUAAGAUCAAUAUAAUAUUUCCUUGUAGAUCUAAGGUAUGUAAGGUAUAAAAAACAAGAAAACUAGUGAAAAACGCAAAAAAAAUAAAGCUUAAAAGCCAUGGAUGCGAGAAGUAGAGUUACAGAGAUGAUUAAAGAAGAAGAGGGUAUAAUUAUCUUUUCCUAAAUCACUAAAAACGGAAAAAGAUAAAAGACCAGCCCUCUAGUUUGAACUCGGGUUGUUCGACCAAGAAAUAUAGCACAAACAACUGAGCUAUAAGCUACUAACUUUUUUUUUCACAUAUUUAAUAUAUAUACUUAUGUGAGAUUUAUAGUAGAUUUAAAAUAGAUUCAGGAAAUAUAUUAAAUGAAAAAGAGAGAAACACAAAGAACGAAGAGAAAAAGAUCAUCGGAGUGGGAAGAGGAAAAAAACGUGGGAGAAAAUAUUCUUUGAGAGAUUUAUGGUAGAUUUAGUUUAGAUUUAGGAAACAUCUUUAACUGAAUAUGGAAGUUUCCAUAUUUUACGGAUUUGCCUAGAAUAUGUAUACUACAUACGCAGAACACAGUAGAGUAGGUGGGAAACAUAUUAUUCCUAUAGGCGUCAUAUAACAUAAAAGCCAGAACAUGUUAUGGCACGUAAUCUAGCCAAGGUAUAUCGUUGAGUUGUGGUUAUAUCACUACAAGAAUUGUUUAAUAUAGCUAAGGACGAGCGACGACAAUUCCGUAGCCAUAUUCAUUAGCUACGUAAAUAGCAACAUAUAGCAACAAAAGUAGAAAUUUAUAAAUUUGUAGCUAAAUCUGUUGCGAUCUCUAGCUAAGUAGCUACAACUGUGAUUUGUAGUUAUUCCAUAACUAACUUGCUACUGAUUAGCUAAAGAAUAAGUUAUCGCAAAAGCAAUUUUAACAAACAAAUGAUUAUGAAUACUUUGGCAUCAUAUGAUAUGAUAGAUAGUAUCACCAGUAUUUUAAAAUUCGAUUAAAGAAAUGUAUUCCACUACACAUUAAGACAAUUUUGAUCUGAGAUUUAUGUAUUAAGUGAUAAGUGAUCAUAUAGAUUAUAAAGACUGAGACAAACAAUUUUUUGUAAAAGUGUUUAAUUGAGGGUGUAAAAAUCACAUUUAUGUAAUAUUUUUAUGUAUCGAAUUGAAAAAAAUGUAAACAUUGAACCUAAUCUUAAACUUAAACCUUACAUCUUACACCAUAAACCAUAAAAUCUGCUUAGUAAACUCUAAACCCUGUAAAUCUUCAUUUUUUUUGAAAAGAAAACCCUAGAAAUCUAUACCCUAAACAAUAAACCCUAAAUAUGUAUACCCUAAACCAUGAACAUAAUAUCCAUAGUUGUAUAUUGGGAAUUUAGAUGUUUAUUAUAGUUAUUAAAAUAUAAUAACAUUAGUUGCAUAUUUGAUUUUUUUGAAAAGAAAACCCUAGAAAUCUAUACCCUAAACAAUAAACCCUAAAUAUGUAUACCCUAAACCAUGAACAUAAUAUCCAUAGUUGUAUAUUGGGAAUUUAGAUGUUUAUUAUAGUUAUUAAAAUAUAAUAACAUUAGUUGCAUAUUUGAUUUUAGCAGGCAUCGAUAUAAUUUAGAAAGUAUUUAUUAGAAUAUGAGUAUAUAAUUUAUCUCAUUUCGUCACUUACCAAAAAAAAAUUAGAAAUCAGCACCAGCCGCCCCCACCCCCCCCCAAAAAAAUAUUUUCCCAGCCAAAAUUUUCUGAUUAUAACUUUAAGUCUUGUUCUCCAUCUUUCCCAGUCUCUCUCCAAAUCUCUUUUCCCCUUCACGGUGAUGAUAUACACAGCCUUUUUCAAUAUUUAUCUUUUCGUUUUCUAAUAGCUUCAAGACAGAUUCUUCUUUAAUUUUGUAAUUCGGAUCUGGGUAGUGGGUGUUUACAAAUCGUAAUUGAGUUGGGUUAAUUUCUUCAUUCAGCCUCUUCCUUAUUUACUGUGAAAUUAUAUUGUUUAGAUUUGUGUAGUGGAAGUGUUUUAUGACGAAUCGAUUUAGGGUUCUCAUCGAGAAGUACGCGGCCGAGUGAAGGGAGACAAAUUCAAAGCGAGCAAAGAAAGAUACUUCAGCUUCGUCCUUCCCACAGGGGGAAGCAAAGCAUAUCUCUAUGAUUUCUAACGGAACACCAUAUGACGGACAAGAUGACCAAUUUAAAGCGUUGGAGAAGCUGGGUUUUCAACAAAAAUUUCAUUAGUUUUAGAUCUUUUUGUAUUUGGUUUUACAAUGUUAACAUUUUGGUAUCAAACAAGUUACUUUUUGUUGGAUUAUGUUCGAAAAUUAAAAUUGACACUUUUUCA